UAUUUGCCCCAAAAGUGAAAAAGCCGCACCCCACUAUUCCCGCUGCGUCCUUUCCUCCAUCGGGGCUCCGUGUUCAGCUCGGUCUGGUCUUCAUUCAGGGCUCCCGAGCUUGGUCCCUGGGAGAAGUCGAGGGACGAAAUAUCCAAAGUAGAGACGGUGGCAGUCCCGGUCUGCUCCGCACCGUGCGGCCUCACCUUGAAUCCCGCGUGCAGUUUUGAGAACCUCAAUAUAAGAAGAAUGUAAAGCUGUUAUAGGGUCUAACAUGUGUGUGUCUUCAUUAAGGGCUAAAGCUCCCUCAAAAUGCCACCCUUUCCUUCCUCUCAAUGUUUCUGUUGCACUAACUUUUCCUGUGUGAAAGCUUCACAGCUGCUUUUGCACAAGGAUAUUCUGUACGUAUAAAUAUUUAAAGGGAGGGUGCCAAGAAGACAGAGACAAACUGUUCUUGGUGGUGCCAAGCAAUAGGACAAGAGGCAAUGGGAGAAACUGGGACACAGGAACUUCCACCUGAAUAUGAGGAAGAACUUCUUCACUGUGCAGGUGACUGAGCACUAGAACAGAUUUCCAGAGAGGUUGUGGAGUCUCCCCCACUGGAGAUAUUCCAGAACCAUAUGGACACAAGCCUGUGCAAUGUGUUCUAGGAGAACCCUCUGGUCCAGGGAGGCUGGACCAGAUGACCCCCUGUGGUCCCUUCCAACCUUUACCCAUUUUGUGAUAUGCCCACUCAUUCCUUAGGCAGCUGAAGCUACACAGAUGUCCUUUCUCCUUGUGCAGACACAGUCUGAGCAUGCAAAUCACUUUGGACUCCAGGCCCCUUCCCUCUGCUGGCCUUGGCACACGGGUGAUGGCGUGGCACCCUGGCCAGAGGAACAGAUGGCUGCUGCUGGGCAAGGGAGAUGCUGGGCCAGAGAACCUUGGAGAACUGAGCCUGAAGGAUUUGUUUGCAGUCACUAGCAAAGAUAGGGGUGUUUUAGCUCACCAAGUCAUGGUUCUGGACAACAAAAUGUAGGUCUGGGGAAGUGGCAGAAGAAAUAAUAGCUCUACAUCUUGCUAGAUGGGUGCUCCUUUUUCUGAAAAGAUUUCUACACUUGGAGCUCCUGAACAUCAGUCCAGAAGGGAUUCUCAGUGUUGGACUUUUAUAUCUUUGCAUCAUCUGAAACUUUCCAAAGACUGUACCUGGCAUGGGUAUAACAAAGAGGAGAUAGGUGACAGCCAGGAUGGCUUUACCAAGGGCAAAUUGUGCCUGACAAAUUUGGUGACCUUCUGCAGUGGGCUUAGAAUGUUGAUAGAUGAGGGAAGUGCAGAGAUGCCAUAUGCCUGCGCACUUGUGCAAACAUUUGAAACAUCCCAUGUGAUAUCCUUGUCUCUAAACCAGAGGUUGACAAGAAGCUCAACACGACCCAGCAAUGUGUGCUCACAGCCCCAGAAAGCCAAACAGGUCCUGAGCUGCAUGAAAGCAGCGUGGGCAGAAGAGCAAGGGAGGGGAUUCUGCCCCUCUACUCCACUCUGAAAUGAGCCAACCUGUAGUACUGUGUCCAGCUCUGGGGUCCCCAACACAAGAAGGACCUGCUGAGAUAGUGCAGAGCUGGGCCGUGAAGAUGACCGAGGGCUGGAGGAUCUCUCCUGUGAAGACAGACUGAGAGAGCUGGGCUUGUUCAGCUGGGAGAAGGCUCUGGGGAGACCUAACUGCAGCCCCCAGUACCCAAAGGGGCCAAAAGGAGAGCUGGAGAGGGACUUCUUACAAGGGACAAGAAAGGGUAAAGUGAAAUUGGACACUGUCCUAAACUAUCUCCAGGCACCAGGCCCAUAUCUGCAGGGGAAUGCUGUGAUCUCCCAUGGCUGCCAAAACAUUUGUGUGGAAUUUAAGAAAUUUGUUUUGAUCUUCAGACCCAUAAUUGUGUAGCAGUCUUGCCGAACAGUCAAUAGCAGAAAGAAAUGAAUAAAAGGGUGAUAGAAGGGCUUAACAACUUAUUCUCCGCUUUUGAAUCCCUCCUGUUCUUGCAAAAUAGAUGAGUAAGUAAGACUAAAUUAGACCCCUUUAAUUAGUCACAAUAGCCCCAUUCUGGUAUCUGAUGCCAAUUUAGUCAGUAUUUCUGCUGGUACCAAAUUUGGUAGUUACGUCAACAGCUUCCCAACACUUGCUGCCUGCACUUGGGGAUCUAUGCCCAAUAAUGACAGGGUGGCAUUUAAAGCAUUCUGCACCCAAGGAGGUCCCAGCCUUACAUGCUGCUUCCUUGGAGUGGGGAUGAGCUCCUA